GAUGAACGCUGGCGGCGUGCCUAAUACAUGCAAGUCGAGCGAACGGACGAGAAGCUUGCUUCUCUGAUGUUAGCGGCGGACGGGUGAGUAACACGUGGUUAACCUACCUAUAAGACUGGGAUAACUUCGGGAAACCGGAGCUAAUACCGGAUAAUAUUUUGAACCGCAUGGUUCAAAAGUGAAAGACGGUCUUGCUGUCACUUAUAGAUGGAUCCGCGCUGCAUUAGCUAGUUGGUAAGGUAACGGCUUACCAAGGCAACGAUGCAUAGCCGACCUGAGAGGGUGAUCGGCCACACUGGAACUGAGACGCGGUCCAGACUCCUACGGGAGGCAGCAGUAGGGAAUCUUCCGCAAUGGGCGAAAGCCUGACGGAGCAACGCCGCGUGAGUGAUGAAGGUCUUCGGAUCGUAAAACUCUGUUAUUAGGGAAGAACAUAUGUGUAAGUAACUGUGCACAUCUUGACGGUACCUAAUCAGAAAGCCACGGCUAACUACGUG
rnacentral:rRNA from 1 species